CRCUGAUGGAUGGACCCGCGGUGCAUUAKCUAGUUGGUGAGGUAACGGCUCACCAAGGCCACGAUGCAUAGCCGACCUGAGAGGGUGAUCGGCCACACUGGGACUGAGACACGGCCCAGACUCCUACGGGAGGCAGCAGUAGGGAAUCUUCGGCAAUGGACGAAAGUCUGACCGAGCAACGCCGCGUGAGUGAAGAAGGUUUUCGGAUCGUAAAACUCUGUUGUUAGAGAAGAACAAGGACGUUAGUAACUGAACGUCCCCUGACGGUAUCUAACCAGAAAGCCACGGCUAACUACGUGCCAGCAGCCGCGGUAAUACGUAGGUGGCAAGCGUUGUCCGGAUUUAUUGGGCGUAAAGCGAGCGCAGGCGGUUUCUUAAGUCUGAUGUGAAAGCCCCCGGCUCAACCGGGGAGGGUCAUUGGWAACUGGGASACUUGAGUGCAGAAGAGGASAGUGSAAUUCCAUGUGUAGCG
rnacentral:rRNA from 1 species